rnacentral:rRNA from 1 species
UUGGACCUGAUAGCAGGCGAGUAACA